GCCGCGGUAGCCGAGUGGUUAGCAUUGCGUACUACCAUUCGAAAGACCCGGGUUCAAAUCCUGGUGGUGAUG
rnacentral:tRNA from 1 species